UGCCAGCCGCCGCGGUAAUACGGAGGGGGCGAGCGUUGUUCGGAAUUACUGGGCGUAAAGGGCGCGUAGGCGGCGCGACACGUCAGGGGUGAAAGGCCCGGGCUCAACCUGGGAAUUGCCUUUGAAACUGUUGUGCUAGAGACCGGGAGAGGAUGGCGGAAUUCCCAGUGUAGAGGUGAAAUUCGUAGAUAUUAGGAAGAACACCAGUGGCGAAGGCGGCUUACUGGACCGGUACUGACGCUGAGGUGCGAAAGCGUGGGGAGCAAACAGGAUUAGAUA
rnacentral:rRNA from 1 species